GAUGAACGCUGGCGGCGUGCCUAAUACAUGCAAGUCGAGCGAACAGACGAGGAGCUUGCUCCUCUGACGUUAGCGGCGGACGGGUGAGUAACACGUGGAUAACCUACCUAUAAGACUGGGAUAACUUCGGGAAACCGGAGCUAAUACCGGAUAAUAUAUUGAACCGCAUGGUUCAAUAGUGAAAGACGGUUUUGCUGUCACUUAUAGAUGGAUCCGCGCCGCAUUAGCUAGUUGGUAAGGUAACGGCUUACCAAGGCAACGAUGCGUAGCCGACCUGAGAGGGUGAUCGGCCACACGGGAACUGAGACACGGUCCAGACUACUACGGGAGGCAGAAGUAGGGAAUCUUCCGCAAUGGGCGAAAGCCUGACGGAGCAACGCCGCGUGAGUGAUGAAGGUCUUCGGAUCGGAAAACUCUGUUGUUAGGGAAGAACAAAUGUGUAAGUAACUAUGCACGUCUUGACGGUACCUAAUCAGAAAGCCACGGCUAACUACGUG
rnacentral:rRNA from 1 species